UAGACUUGACAUCUCCUGAAUUACUCUGUAAUGGAGGAAGCCGCUUCGGCGGCAGGAAGACAGGUGGUGCAUGGUUGUCGUCAGCUCGUGUCGUGAGAUGUUGGGUUAAGUCCCGCAACGAGCGCAACCCUUAUUGUUAGUUGCUACCAUUUAGUUGAGCACUCUAGCGAGACUGCCCGGGUUAACCGGGAGGAAGGUGGGGAUGACGUCAAAUCAUCAUGCCCCUUAUGUCUAGGGCUACACACGUGCUACAAUGGUCGGUACAAUGAGAUGCAACCUCUCGAGAGUGAGCAAAACUAUAAAACCGAUCUCAGUUCGGAUUGUAGGCUGAAACUCGCCUACAUGAAGCUGGAGUUGCUAGUAAUCGCGAAUCAGAAUGUCGCGGUGAAUACGUUCCCGGGCC
rnacentral:rRNA from 1 species